rnacentral:sRNA from 1 species
UCCCUAUCAAUAAAGGUCUCAGACCAAGC